CGCGAAGUUCACAGAGCUAAUGGGCAGUCUUGGACCGGCGUUUGCAGCAGGAACAUCUCUACUUCCUCUAUCUCCGAGCCCCCUACGGAACUAUAUCACGGGGUUGCGGCUACCCUACUCUGCUACGCUGGGUCCUUGGCGGCAGCUGUACGAGAUUAGGUUACCACAGAUCGGAGGUGGCAUUGUUGAGGUCAUCUAAACGGCAUUCUAUACUGAAGGGAACGCCAGCCCAGCUGCCCCGUCGAAGACGACAGUUCAUAGCGUGUACCGAGCGAUCUGAGAGUGGCCAGAUGUCCCUGGAUGCAAUGCCCUGUGCUACCCCCAUGCUGCGUCGAGUCGUGUGUCACCUCGGAUGCAGCCUCCUCCUGGAGUCACCUACGCCUCUGCUGGGCUUCCCUGCACCAGCGCGAGACAACCUUCGCCCACGCUAACAGCCUCCACAACCAUCUCCUUCAAUAAAAGCCUGAAACCAGCAUUCGUAUCUCCCUACACCACCAAGUUAGGAACUUCUAGACACUGUCACUUUCUC